UCUUUAUGUGAUCACCACACUCAUCUCUCUCUUCUUAAUUACGUUGCCACAUUAAUUUUUUUCCCUAUAUGAUAGUCUUAGUACAUGUAUAAAAUGGAGCAUUGAGAAAGACCUAACGAAUCAUCACACAAGCAGAAGUAGGUGAUGUUGACGGUGGACUCAUUAUAUAUAAGUUCUUACACGAUUUGUUAAUAUAAAAUUAAUGUCAGCGACAUUAGCACACAUAUAGUCUUAAGCAAGCUACAGUAGAACUCAAUCAGCAUAUAUAUCUUGUAUUCCACGGCUUUUGGUGGAUCAUGGAUGACGAGGGUUUUCCUCCUCGGUUCACAUUGACAACGUGGAUCCAACAAGUUCACAUUUACUCGGGGUCUAUGCAUGGCGGUGGUCAUGUCCUUUCCCUUGACAUGAUCGGCUGCCACACGCAAGGAUAUGUGAGUUAGAGCAACUCUAGCAGACCCGCAUCCAUCUCAGAUUCGUAAAAUAACCAUCAAAAUACGGAUACGGACCGGAAAGCAUGUCCGAUC
rnacentral:lncRNA from 1 species